CAUCUAGAAGGAGGGUUGAGAUGUUAUAAGAAAAUAGUAUCAUUAUUAUGGCAUUAACCUAUUGUACGUCAAAAUAGUUUGGCGAUGUGAUUAUUAAAGAACAAUAAUAAUGCAAGAAACAUAUCUUGCAUAUAAUUUUGACCAUGACCAUAAUGGUAUGACAUUCUCUUUAAAAGAGAUAUUCACCAUAUGGAUGUCAAUGAAUAUGUGGUAGUACCAAAUUAAUUGAGAACUCUGCAAGAGCCAAUUAUACUAUUUUGGAGAAACACAAUUGAUUACCAAUAAGGUAUUG
rnacentral:lncRNA from 1 species